GACGAACGCUGGCGGCGUGCUUAACACAUGCAAGUCGAGCGGUAAGGCUCCUUCGGGGGUACACGAGCGGCGAACGGGUGAGUAACACGUGAGUAAUCUGCCCCUCACUUCGGGAUAAGCCUCGGAAACGAGGUCUAAUACCGGAUACGACCACUUCCUGCAUGGGAUGGUGGUGGAAAGUUUUUUUCGGUGGGGGAUGUGCUCGCGGCCUAUCAGCUUGUUGGUGGGGUAAUGGCCUACCAAGGCUUCGACGGGUAGCCGGCCUGAGAGGGUGACCGGCCACACUGGGACUGGGACACGGCCCAGACUCCUACGGGAGGCAGCAGUGGGGAAUAUUGGACAAUGGGCGGAAGCCUGAUCCAGCAACGCCGCGUGAGGGAUGACGGCCUUCGGGUUGUAAACCUCUUUCAGCGGGGACGAAGCGCAAGUGACGGUACCCGCAGAAGAAGCACCGGCCAACUACGUGCCAGCCGCCGCGGUAAGAC
rnacentral:rRNA from 1 species